UACGUAGGGUGCAAGCGUUAAUCGGAAUUACUGGGCGUAAAGCGUGCGCAGGCGGUUUUGUAAGUCAGAUGUGAAAUCCCCGGGCUUAACCUGGGAACUGCGUUUGAAACUACAAGGCUAGAGUGUGACAGAGGGGGGUGGAAUUCCGCGUGUAGCAGUGAAAUGCGUAGAUAUGCGGAGGAACACCGAUGGCGAAGGCAAUCCCCUGGGCCUGUACUGACGCUCAUGCACGAAAGCGUGGGGAGCAAACAGG
rnacentral:rRNA from 1 species